AGUUCUGAGUUCGAUCCCCGGUACCAAAAAAAAAAAAAAAGGAAAAAGAAAAAGAAAAGUAGACCUAAGAUAUGAAAGCAAGAUUUCUUUGGGAGCAUUUUAAUUUCAUCUGAUUUUCUUAAAUUUCCUAUAAUCCUUUCACAUCUCCUUCCUCUCUUCACCCCCCCCACCCCGCCCCCAUCCCUUUUCUGCCUGGAUACUGGACAAUCCUACUAAUUCUCCCAGGUCUAAGCCACAAAAUGGCUCAACUCACAGAUUUUCUGCUCUCAUUUUUCAGGAGUCAAACUGGGAAUGGGUCUAAGACAGCCAGAGAUCUCUGACUCACUGGUGACAGUGAUAGCAAGUAGGUUGGAAGGACAAAAAAGCGAAGAAGUGCACAAAACCAGAAGCAACAAGGGUCUCAUUAUGUUGCCUAAGCUGGUAUCAAACUCCAAAGCUCAACUGAUCCUUGUAUCUCAGCCUCCAGAGUAGACAGGACUAUAGGAACAAAUCACCUUGCCCAGAUAAUUCCUAAGUAUAUACUGAGAACUUGACAAGUGCAAAGCACUAUGCUUAAUGCUAUGGUCUUCAUUAUAAAAGGAAUGUGCAACCAAAAAUGUUUUUCAUAUGUUCCUUUACUCAAUCAUAUUUUAAAUGAAAUAUAAUUUAUAUGAAGAAAAAUAUAUAUUAGGAUGUAAUAAAUGGCAAGGUUAUGACACUGAGGUAUAGGUGAUAAGACCAACUUAUAAUAGCAAUGUACAUAUGUACAUACCUUUUUAUAUUGUAUUAAAAAAUAACUACCUGAAACCAAAUCCAAUCUCUUGGUACAUCUAUGUAUCUUUUUUCCCCUUGACUAUACAUUCAAAAGCAUCUUCUGCAAAAACAUAAUGUAAUUUUGUCCACCAUAAAGGACUGAGAUAGAAAGUCAACAAUAUUUUUAGUUUAAAAUCAUCUUUUAAUGUAUAUUUACCUUACAGCUUCAUUGAGAAAAAUACAUGGCCUAGUACAUUAGUUUUCAUCUGUACUUUUUUGAGCCCAUAGACAAUACCUUGUUAGCAUUCUUUAAAUGUUCCACAGAUUCCCAAAAACUAAUCAGCACUUUCUUGUCCAUCCUUUCCAUGUAUAUUCUAAAGUGCUCUCGAAACAAAGUGUUGGCCAAGAUAUCUUCAAACUGAAGAAUCUGUUAAAGGAAUUUAAUAAAAAUGUUUUUAAAAAUCAAAUUUUAAACACAAGUUUGCUUUAACUUCCAAUGAAUUAACUUCUCCAUUCAGAGAAAAAUACAUUUUUAAGUUCAAAGCCAAGGUGAUAUA
rnacentral:lncRNA from 1 species